CCUACGGGUGGCUGCAGUGGGGAAUAUUGGGCAAUGGAGGAAACUCUGACCCAGCAAUGCCGCGUGAAUGAAUAAUGUCUUCGGAUUUGAAAGUUCUUUAGUCAGGGAAGAAAAAAAUGACGGUACCUGAAGAAUAAGCUCCGGCUAGCUACGUGCCAGCAGACGCGGUAAGACGUAGGGACCAAGCGUUGUUCGGAAUGACUGGGCGUAAAGGGUGCGUGGGGGGUUAUACAAGUUAGAAGUGAAAUACCCAGGGCUUAAAUCGGGUGCGGCUUCUGAAACUGUAAGACUUGAGUGCAGUAGAGGUUAGUGGAAUUCCUGGUGUAGCGGUGGAAUGCGUAGAUAUUAGGAGGAACCCCAGAGGCGAAGGCGGCUAACUGGUGUGCUACUGACGCUGAGGCACGAAAGUGUGGGGAGCAAACAGGAUUAGAUACCCUUGUAGUC
rnacentral:rRNA from 1 species